rnacentral:rRNA from 1 species
GACGAACGCUGGCGGCGUGCUUAACACAUGCAAGUCGAACGGAAAGGCCCUGCUUUUGUGGGGUGCUCGAGUGGCGAACGGGUGAGUAACACGUGAGUAACCUGCCCUUGACUUUGGGAUAACUUCAGGAAACUGGGGCUAAUACCGGAUAGGAGCUCCUGCUGCAUGGUGGGGGGUGGAAAGUUUCGGCGGGUGGGGAUGGACUCGCGGCUUAUCAGCUUGUUGGUGGGGGAGUGGCUUGCCAAGGCUUUGACGGGUAGCCGGCCUGAGAGGGUGAACGGACACAUUGGGACUGAGAUACGGCCCAGACUCCUACGGGAGGCAGCAGUGGGGAAUAUUGCACAAUGGGCGGAAGCCUGAUGCAGCAACGCCGCGUGCGGGAUGACGGCCUUCGGGUUGUAAACAGCUGUCGCCUGUGACGAAGCGUGAGUGACGGUAAUGGGUAAAGAAGCACCGGCUAACUACGUG